UACGUAGGGGCCGAGCGUUGUUCGGAGUUACUGGGCGUAAAGGGCGCGUAGGCGGCGCUCCAAGUUAGGCGUGAAAGCCCCGGGCUCAACCUGGGAAUAGCGCUUAAGACUGGAGUGCUCGAGUGCGGAAGAGGUGAGUGGAAUUCCCAGUGUAGAGGUGAAAUUCGUAGAUAUUGGGAAGAACACCAGUGGCGAAGGCGGCUCACUGGUCCGCAACUGACGCUGAGGCGCGAAAGCGUGGGGAGCAAACAGG
rnacentral:rRNA from 1 species